rnacentral:rRNA from 1 species
UGCGAGUGAACCGGGAGGAGCCCAGCACCGAAUCCCUCAGCAGCUGGCUGACGGGAAGUGUGGUGUUCAGAGUGAUCGCUGUGCGUUGGACUGGUGUCUAAGUCUUCUUGACUGGGGUUUGAUGGCCCAGAGAGGGUGUCAGGCCUUUAAGGCGCUGGUUUGGCGUGCAAUGGUUGCUCGAAGAGUCGGGUUGUUUCUGAGUACAACCCAAAGCAGGUGGUAAACUCCAUCUAAGGCUAAAUAUGAGUACGAGUCCGAUAGCGAACAAGUACCGUGAGGGAAAGUUGCAAAGAACUUUGAAGAGAGAGUUCAAGAGUACGUGAAACCGCUCGGAGUGAAGCUGGUGAAGCCACGGGGUUACAACUCGGAAUCAAUCGUGCCAUGUGGAACACGUGGCGGCUUGUUGCGUGUACUGCGAGGUGCAUGGGCAGGCGGUCAUGUGCAUUGAGUCUUUCCGCUGGUGCGAUGUAUUUCUGACUUGUGACACGCCACGAGUGGUGGUGCGGCAGCUAGAAGUGCCAGGAGCAGGUAACACAUGUUCAGCUCGUGUGUGAUGGCUCAGGGCAUUAUAGGCUCUGUUGUGCUACCAAGGACAGCUUGUGCUGAGCUGAAGCGAUUCGUGCUCUUGAGGUGCACGUAGGUCGUCCGGUUGUUUGUGGUUCGUCUGGGACUGCCUUGCAGUGUCGGGCGUGUCAUGAGCACUCGGUGGCGGCUGCGCUGCGCGCCAAGUGGAUAGUAACGAAUGGCUGUUCGGUGGCGAGUUGGUAACUCACCAGUCCCGUCUUGAAACACGGACCAAGGAGUUCAGCAUGCAGGCGAGUCUGAGGGUUGAGCGAACCCGAAGGCGAAGUGAAAGCGAAAGUCGCCCAUCUGAGGUGGCUGAGAUGUGAUCCGGCUGCGGUGUGAGCCGUACCGGCGCAACAUCGUCUCGUCGUGACCUUGCGUGGGUGCGGCGAAGAUUGAGUCUGCACGCUGUGACCCGAAAGAUGGUGAACUAUGCCAGAGGAGGGCGAAGCCAGAGGAAACUCUGGUGGAGGUCCGAAGCGAUUCUAACGUGCAAAUUGAUCGUCAGACUUUGGUAUAGCGGCGAAAGACUAAUCGAACCAUCUAGUAGCUGGUUCCCUCCGAAGUUUCUCUCAGGAUAGCUGGUACUGAUGUGAUGAUUUUCACCCGGUAAAGCGAAUGAUUAGAGUGAUUUGGGUUGAAAAGACCUAAACCUAUUCUCAAACUGUAAAUGGAUGAGUGCUCUCGACUCGC